UACGGAGGAUCCAAGCGUCAUCCGGAUUUAUUGGGUUUAAAGGGUGCGUAGGUGGCCUGUUAAGUCAGGGGUGAAAGACGGUAGCUCAACUAUCGCAGUGCCCUUGAUACUGAUGGGCUUGAAUAAACUAGAGGUAGGCGGAAUGUGACAAGUAGCGGUGAAAUGCAUAGAUAUGUCACAGAACACCAAUUGCGAAGGCAGCUUACUAUGGUUUUAUUGACACUGAGGCACGAAAGCGUGGGGAUCAAACAGG
rnacentral:rRNA from 1 species